CUCACAUGCUGCUGCUAGGUGAUUUGAUACCUUACUUGUUCACCAUAUACUCACAUGCUGCUGCUAGGUGAUUUGAUACCUUACUUGUUCACCAUAUACUCACAUGCUGCUGCUAGGUGAUUUGAUACCUUACUUGUUCACCAUAUACUCACAUGCUGCUGCUAGGUGAUUUGAUACCUUACUUGUUCACCAUAUACUCACAUGCUGCUGCUAGGUGAUUUGAUACCUUACUUGUUCACCAUAUACUCACAUGCUGCUGCUAGGUGAUUUGAUACCUUACUUGUUCACCAUAUACUCACAUGCUGCUGCUAGGUGAUUUGAUACCUUACUUGUUCACCAUAUACUCACAUGCUGCUGCUAGGUGAUUUGAUACCUUACUUGUUCACCAUAUACUCACAUGCUGCUGCUAGGUGAUUUGAUACCUUACUUGUUCACCAUAUACUCACAUGCUGCUGCUAGGUGAUUUGAUACCUUACUUGUUCACCGUAUACUCA